rnacentral:rRNA from 1 species
CACGAACGCUGGCGGCGCGGAUAAGACAUGCAAGUCGAACGGGACAGGUAGCAAUAUCUGUCUAGUGGCGAACGGGUGCGUAACACGUGGGCAACAUGCCUGGAAGAGCGGGAUAGCCCGGGGAAACUCGGAUUAAUACCGCAUGUGACAACGGGGCGGCUUCGCCCUGUUUUCAAAGGUGGGGACCGCAAGGCCUGCCGCUUCCAGAUUGGCCCGCGUCCUAUCAGCUAGUUGGCGGGGUAAAAGCCCACCAAGGCGACGACGGGUAGCCGGUGUGAGAGGACGAACAGCGACACUGGAACUGGGACACGGUCCAGACACCUACGGGUGGCAGCAGUCGAGAAUCUUUCACAAUGGGGGAAACCCUGAUGGAGCGACGCCGCGUGGAGGAUGAAGGUCUUCGGAUUGUAAACUCCUGUCAUGAAAGAACAAGCGAUGCGGGUGAACAGCCCGCAAAGUUGAUAGUAUUUCAAGAGGAAGGGACGGCUAACUUCGUGCCAGCCGCCGCCGUAACAC